GGCGGGAAGGGACCAGGUGGUGGACUUACGGAACGAGCUGGGGAAAUAUAAAAAUAAAACCCAAGGCGGGGUGUUUCUGCAUAACUGUGUGACGGCUGCCACACGCAGGACUAGGAUCCCUAAGUCCUGGGGGAGUGAGCGGCACACAGCGAGAAGUGGGUAAACGGGCCAUUCCUGGGCGUUGGCGUGUGACCGGAGGAGGCCGACAGGAGCCCCCACGUCAGUGUGGAACGCAGGCUGGGGUGUGGAUCACUUAGAGAGACAAAAAGCAUUUGCGUCGUUUUCCCACUAAGCCAGAUACGUCAGAUGAAAUCGCAAACACCGGGGAACGGGACGUAGUGGUGGAGACAGGUGUCGGUCCUGGUGGCCGCUCGGAGGCGGUGGCGGCGGCGGCGCAGUUCCGCGGGGGCAGGACCUCCCCCGGCCUCGAGUCAGGUGGCGGUUCCACAGGAUCACGGCUGUCGCGUCAGGCGGAGGCUGCCCGCGUUCACGGGGAGUCGUCACCCGCCGUGGUCAGCGAACGCCUUAUGGAAGGAGCCGGCUCACUGGAAUCCCAGCUCAGUGUGGAAGGACCAGUUCACUCCCGGGAGCAAAAGUCGGCUACGUAUGCUUUUAUCGCACCUGGUGCUACGUCUUCACAUGGUGCCCUUGCAUCGCUGGUCUCCCAACAAGUGUCGCUUCUACAGUUAGUUCUUGAACGACUGUGGAGCCGUGAAAAUGGGCAGAAUGUUGCACUUCCACGUGGUAAAUAAAACC
rnacentral:lncRNA from 12 species